rnacentral:rRNA from 1 species
AGCAGUCGCCGCGGGAAUACGUAGGGUGCGAGCGUUAAUCGGAAUUACUGGGCGUAAAGCGCACGCAGGCGGUCUGACAAGUCAGAUGUGAAAUCCCCGGGCUUAACCUGGGAACUGCAUUUGAAACUGUCAGGCUGGAGUCUUGUAGAGGGGGGUAGAAUUCCAGGUGUAGCGGUGAAAUGCGUAGAGAUCUGGAGGAAUACCGGUGGCGAAGGCGGCCCCCUGGACAAAGACUGACGCUCAGGUGCGAAAGCGUGGGGAGCAAACAGGAUUAGAUACCCCUGUAGUCCCUGUCUCUUAUAC